rnacentral:sRNA from 1 species
AGGACCGCCGAGAUUGGGCCCUCCGUGCUCA